rnacentral:rRNA from 1 species
AUUGAACGCUGGCGGCAUGCUUUACACAUGCAAGUCGAACGGUAACAGGCCUUCUUGUUCUGACGAUUGGCUAACGGGUGAGUAAUGCAUCGGAACGUGCCCAGCGGUGUGGGAUAACGCAGCGAAAGCUGUGCUAAUCCCGCAUGUGAUCUGAAUAUGAAAUCGGGGUACCAUUCAGCAAUUUUUGGCCUCUCGCCUUUGGUCCCGCCGUUUUCAGAUUAGGUAGUUGGUGGGGUAAAGGCCUACCAAGCCGACGAUCUGUAGCUGGUCUGAGAGGACGAACAGCGACACUGGGACUGAGACACGGCCAAGACGCCUACGGGAGGCAGCAGUGGGGAAUGGUAGACAAUGGGCGCGAGCAUGAUACAGCAAUGGCGCGUGCGAGAAGGAGGCCCUCGGGUGGUAAACAGCUUUUGUACGGAACGAAAAGGCUCUGGCUAAUACCUAGGGAUGAUGACGGUACCGUAAGAAGAAGCACCGGCUAACUACGUG